GAGGUGGAAUUUGAGCCCCUGCUCCUUUCAUAUGUCUGCACGCCUGACGGCAUUAUGCAAAUGACUUUCAGGAGCAGCCUUCAUUAAGUGUCCUGUGGAGGAAGCCCAAUUCAACACCCUUGAUGCACCCAGGUUCUGAAGAGGGUUUGCGAGGCUCCCUAAAUCGUAUCUGGUCAUGGCACUGAAGCUCCUGAUAAGUCUCCUGAUGAUCUUCCCUUCAUGUGUUUCUUCUCAGAUCACCCUCACGGAGUCGGGAGGUGGAGUGAAGAGGCCGGGAGACACCGUGCAGCUGACCUGUGUGGUGUCUGGGUUUUCUCUCACAAGCUGGAGCAUGCACUGGGUCCGCCAGCCCCCAGGAAAGGGACUGGAGUGGGCAGGAGCUGUUUGGAACAAUGGUGCUCUGUACUAUAACAGUGCUCUGAAGAACCGGCUCACCAUCUCGAGGGACACCUCCAAGGGCCAGGUGUUCCUGCAAGUCCGUGACCUGAAGCCUGAGGACUCCGCCAUGUAUUACUGUGCAAGAGACACAGUGAGGAAAUGCUGCUCUGAAGACCACUGCGACCUGUCCAUGGUCCGCAUGUGCAACACCAAAGGCUGA